AAACCAACAGGGAUUGCCUCAGUAACGGCGAGUGAAGCGGCAAAAGCUCAAAUUUGAAACCCUCGGGAUUGUAAUUUGAAGAUUUGGCAUUGGAGAAAGCUAACCCAAGUUACUUGGAAUAGUACGUCAUAGAGGGUGACAACCCCGUCUGGCUAACCGUUCUCCAUGUAUUGCCUUAUCAAAGAGUCGAGUUGUUUGGGAAUGCAGCUCAAAGUGGGUGGUAAACUCCAUCUAAAGCUAAAUACUGGUGAGAGACCGAUAGCGAACAAGUACUGUGAAGGAAAGGUGAAAAGAACUUUGAAAAGAGAGUGAAAUAGUAUGUGAAAUUGUUGAUAGGGAAGGAAAUGAGUGGAGAGUGGUUGCGGUUUCAACCAGCCCUUGGGCUGGCCUAUUGCCAACGCCGAGUCAUUGUCCGCGAGACGGGAGCUAUAAACGGGUUACACUUGUGUUUCUCACCUACCUCCCCCACUGCAGUCAACGACAUAAUCCACCCAUUUCACC
rnacentral:rRNA from 1 species